rnacentral:rRNA from 1 species
AGAGUUUGAUCCUGGCUCAGAACGAACGCUGGCAGCGUGGAUUAGGCAUGCAAGUCGAACGGGAUCCGGGAGGGUAGCAAUACUCCCCGGUGAGAGUGGCGGAAGGGCGAGGAACGCAUGGGCAACCUGUCCCGAGGGCGGGGAUAACGCCGCGAAAGCGGCGCUAAUACCGGAUGUGGCGCGCGGAUCGCAUGAUCUGUCCGCCAAAGGCGGGGACCGCAAGGCCCGCCCCCUGGGGAGGGGCCCGUGUGCCAUCAGCUUGUUGGCGGGGUUACGGCCCACCAAGGCUUACGGCUAGCUGGUCUGAGAGGACGACCAGCCGCACUGGGACUGAGACACUGCCCAGACUCCUACGGGAGGCUGCAGUCGAGGAUCAUUCGCAAUGGGCGAAAGCCUGACGAUGCGACGCUGCGUGUAGGAUGAAGGCCCUCGGGUCGUAAACUACUGUCAUGGGGGGCGAGGCGGAGGCGGUGAACAGCCGCCCGAGUUGACGGUACCCCAAGAGGAAGCCACGGCUAACUCUGUGCCAGCAGCCGCGGUAAUACAGAGGUGGCGAGUGUUGUUCGGAUUUACUGGGCGUAAAGGGCGCGUAGGCGGAUCUGUAUGUCAGUAGUUAAACUAUCCCUCUUAACUUCGUAUAGCUGUUGAAUCUGUAUGUCUUGAGUAGAUGAGAGGAAAGCUAAAUUCCUUGUGUAGCGGUGAAAUGUAUAGAUUUUACAAAGAACACCAGCAGCGAAGGCCUCUUUGCUUGACUCUCACUGACGCUGAGGCACGAAAGCGUGGACAACAAACAAGACUAGAUACCCUGCUACUCCACGCAGUAAACGUAUAAAGGAGUAGGUGUCUCACCCCCCCCGUCCCGUAGCUAACGCGUUAAGUGUGCCGCCUGGGGAGUACGGCCGCAAGGCUAAAACUCAAAGAAAUUGACGGGGGCCCGCACAAGCAGAGGAGCAUGUGGCUUAAUUCGAUGCAGCGCGAAGAACCUUACCCGGGUUUGACAUGCAGCUGCACGUCCUAUGAAAGUAGGAUUCCUUCGAGGGUGCUGCACAGGUGCUGCAUGGCUGUCAUCAGUUCGUGCCGUGAGGUGUUUGGUUAAGUCCAGCAACGAACGCAACCCCUGUGUCCAGUUGCCAUCAGGUAACGCUGGGGACUCUGGACAGACCGCCCGUUCACGCGGGAGGAAGGUGGGGACGACGUCAAGUCAGUACGGCCCUUACAUCCGGGGCUGCACACGUGCUACAAUGGCCGGUACAAAGGGAAGCUAUGCCGCGAGGCGGAGCCAAUCCCCAAAACCGGCCCCAGUUCGGAUCGGGGUCUGCAACCCGACCCCGUGAAGCCGGAUUUGCUAGUAACGGCGCAUCAGCUACGGCGCCGUGAAUACGUUCCCGGGUCUUGCACACACCGCCCGUCA